UAACAAGGUCUCCGUUGGUGAACCAGCGGAGGGAUCAUUAUAGAGUUUUCUAAACUCCCAACCCAUGUGAACUUACCUUUUGUUGCCUCGGCAGAAGUUAUAGGUCUUCUUAUAGCUGCUGCCGGUGGACCAUUAAACUCUUGUUAUUUUAUGUAAUCUGAGCGUCUUAUUUUAAUAAGUCAAAACUUUCAACAACGGAUCUCUUGGUUCUGGCAUCGAUGAAGAACGCAGCGAAAUGCGAUAAGUAAUGUGAAUUGCAGAAUUCAGUGAAUCAUCGAAUCUUUGAACGCACAUUGCGCCCAUUAGUAUUCUAGUGGGCAUGCCUGUUCGAGCGUCAUUUCAACCCUUAAGCCUAGCUUAGUGUUGGGAAUCUACUUCUCUUAGGAGUUGUAGUUCCUGAAAUACAACGGCGGAUUUGUAGUAUCCUCUGAGCGUAGUAAUUUUUUUCUCGCUUUUGUUAGGUGCUAUAACUCCCAGCCGCUAAACCCCCAAUUUUUUGUGGUUGACCUCGGAUCAGGUAGGAAUACCCGCUGAACUUAAGCAUAUCAA
rnacentral:rRNA from 1 species